rnacentral:rRNA from 1 species
UACGUAGGGUGCAAGCGUUGUCCGGAAUUAUUGGGCGUAAAGAGCUCGUAGGCGGUUUGUCGCGUCUGCUGUGAAAACUCGGGGCUUAACCCCGGGCCUGCAGUGGGUACGGGCAGACUAGAGUGCGGUAGGGGAGACUGGAAUUCCUGGUGUAGCGGUGAAAUGCGCAGAUAUCAGGAGGAACACCGGUGGCGAAGGCGGGUCUCUGGGCCGUACCUGACGCUGAGGAGCGAAAGCAUGGGGAGCGAACAGG